UUCAGCCGCUGCUACCACCGCCGCCGCUGCCACGGCCCCGUCGCGCGAGCGCGAACCAGCGCGAGGGAACGACGGCGAGAGCGAGAGCGCGCGCCCGGUGGCCACCGCCGCCCACAACCUCGGUCUCCCGCUGACGGCGCAUGCGCGAGGCGGCGCCGGGCGGAGACGCGCACGCCGUAGGGGGCGUGACCGGACCUAGAAGGUGUGGCCACGCCUCAGACCCGCCCACCCACGCGGGCGCUGCAGGUGGUGCAACCGCCUCCAGAUUCCACCCUGGAAGGAGGAAAACAACUCCUAAAAGUUGUCCUCUGACUUCUACAAGUGCACCAUGAUACAUGAAACCCCUCCCCAUGAUAACAAUUUUGUUUCAUGACCUGAUCUUACUAGAAAGGAAGAGGACAUGGCCGUGUUCCAGAAGGGCUUAGCAGGUUCCUGCCCUGCUUGAGUUCCUGCCCUCACUGUUU